UUUUAUAGGAGUCCAUCUCUACGAAGAGACUCGUGCCGAUGUAUCAUUCCGCGCAGAGGGUAUUUUAAGCUGUAGCGGCUGAGUUUGAGUUUGUGCUCAGGUGUGGACGCUGCUGUGAAAGCCACGUUUGACCAGUGUCAGGGCCAGCAUCUGGACGAGCUUCCUCAGCCUCCUCAUCAUGAACUUGAAGACUGGUGCUGCUCCUCGGAUGCUAGCAGUGCUCUUUAUCUGCACUGCCCUGCUGAAGUCAUGUGGGGCUGAAGCCAGUGCACUUUGCCGUGCUGAGGAACAUCCUAAUGUCACUGCGUUUUACAUCCUGGAUGAGACUGUUCCUGAGUGUGAGGAAUAUCUUUGGCGUGUCAAUAGGCAGCUGAUGGCAUUGAUGUAACGUGGGUGUAUGUGCUGUGGGCGUUUGGGCUGUGUCUCCUCGUCACCAUCAUCAUGCUCUUUGCCUACUUUCUCAGGCACAGAUUGCAGUUCAUGUCUAAAAUGGACAAGCAGAGCUACUCUCCUCCCUGCUCGUGCUCGUCGCCUCCCCCAGGUCUUCUCAGUCAGCCCCUCAUGUCAGCAAAGCCAGCAUCACUUCCUGCCUGUAGCGGAAGAGGAAGGGAAAGGCAUUAAUUUACAUAACUUUGAUUAUUUUUUCUCUCAUGGGGACUGAAAUGGACUUGAAAGGUCAGAGACUUUAGCAGACAAGCUGAUGACAGUGCUGUAUCAAAGGCCAGUAUUCAUUUAACAACUGGCCUCCCCCAUAUUCUUUCUUCAUUUCCCUCUCUCUAUCCCCUAUCCCUAUCUCCAUCUCUCUCUCUCUCUCCCUCUCUCUCUCAGGGCCAGUAUAACUGCCUCAGAUCAGCCAUGCUGCCAGCAAGAGGAGGAAAUUCCAUGUUGUGUUCUACGUAUCACUGUUGUCGGAACAAAACCCCGUAUCUCAGUUUUUGACGUUUUUGACAUAAAAUACCUU